rnacentral:tRNA from 2 species
GGGGUAUUAGCUCAGCUGGGAGAGCGCUACACUGGCAGUGUAGAGGUCAGCGGUUCGAUCCCGCUAUGCUCCA